rnacentral:rRNA from 1 species
AUUGAACGCUGGCGGCAGGCCUAACACAUGCAAGUCGAACGAGUGGCGGACGGGUGAGUAAUGUCUGGGAAACUGCCUGAUGGAGGGGGAUAACUACUGGACACGGUAGCUAAUACCGCAUACCAUCAGAUGUGCCCAGAUGGGAUUAGCUUGUUGGUGGGGUAACGGCUCACCAAGACGACGAUCCCUAGCUGGUCUGAGAGGAUGACCAUCCACGCUGGAACUGAGACACGGUCCAGACUCCUACGGAAGGCAUAAGUGGGGAAUAUUGGACAAUGGGAGAAAGCCUGAUUCAGCCAUGCCGCGUGUGUGAAGAAGGUCUUCGGAUUGUAAAGCACUUUAAGUUGGGAGGCGUUACCAACAGAAUAAGCACCGGCUAACUUCGUGCCAGCAGCCGCGGUAAUUC